rnacentral:rRNA from 1 species
GGGUUGUGAGGUUAAGCGACUAAGCGUACACGGUGGAUGCCCUGGCAGUCAGAGGCGAUGAAGGACGUGCUAAUCUGCGAUAAGCGUCGGUGAGGUGAUAUGAACCGUUAUAACCGGCGAUUUCCGAAUGGGGAAACCCAGUGUGUUUCGACACACUAUCAUUAACUGAAUCCAUAGGUUAAUGAGGCGAACCGGGGGAACUGAAACAUCUAAGUACCCCGAGGAAAAGAAAUCAACCGAGAUUCCCCCAGUAGCGGCGAGCGAACGGGGAGGAGCCCAGAGCCUGAAUCAGUGUGUGUGUUAGUGGAAGCGUCUGGAAAGGCGCGCGAUACAGGGUGACAGCCCCGUACACAAAAAUGCACAUAUUGUGAGCUCGAUGAGUAGGGCGGGACACGUGGUAUCCUGUCUGAAUAUGGGGGGACCAUCCUCCAAGGCUAAAUACUCCUGACUGACCGAUAGUGAACCAGUACCGUGAGGGAAAGGCGAAAAGAACCCCGGCGAGGGGAGUGAAAAAGAACCUGAAACCGUGUACGUACAAGCAGUGGGAGCCUCUUAAUGGGGUGACUGCGUACCUUUUGUAUAAUGGGUCAGCGACUUAUAUUCUGUAGCAAGGUUAACCGAAUAGGGGAGCCGAAGGGAAACCGAGUCUUAACUGGGCGUUAAGUUGCAGGGUAUAGACCCGAAACCCGGUGAUCUAGCCAUGGGCAGGUUGAAGGUUGGGUAACACUAACUGGAGGACCGAACCGACUAAUGUUGAAAAAUUAGCGGAUGACUUGUGGCUGGGGGUGAAAGGCCAAUCAAACCGGGAGAUAGCUGGUUCUCCCCGAAAGCUAUUUAGGUAGCGCCUCGUGAAUUCAUCUCCGGGGGUAGAGCACUGUUUCGGCAAGGGGGUCAUCCCGACUUACCAACCCGAUGCAAACUGCGAAUACCGGAGAAUGUUAUCACGGGAGACACACGGCGGGUGCUAACGUCCGUCGUGAAGAGGGAAACAACCCAGACCGCCAGCUAAGGUCCCAAAGUCAUGGUUAAGUGGGAAACGAUGUGGGAAGGCCCAGACAGCCAGGAUGUUGGCUUAGAAGCAGCCAUCAUUUAAAGAAAGCGUAA